rnacentral:rRNA from 1 species
CUUUUUGAUUAUAAUUUAAAGUCUAACCUGCCCAAUGAUAAAAUUUAAAUGGCUGCGGUAUUUUGACCGUACAAAGGUAGCAUAAUCAUUAGUUUUUUAAUUGAAAGCUGGAAUGAAAGGUUGCAUGAAAAAAUGACUGUCUCUAUUUAAAUUUAAUUGAAUUUUAUUUUUAAGUAAAAAAGCUUAAAUUUUUCUAAAAGACGAGAAGACCCUAUAGAGUUUUAUAAAUUUAUUAUAAGGAAUUUUUAGGAUUUAAAAUAAUUUAUAUUUAAUUUAUUUAAUUGGGGUGAUUGAAAAAUUUGUUAAACUUUUUUAUUUAUAUUACAUUAAUUUAUGAGUUUUUGAUCCUUACUUUAAGAUUAAAAGAUAAAAUUACCUUAGGGAUAACAGCGUUAUUUUUUUUGAGAGUUCAAAUCGAAAAAAAAGAUUGCGACCUCGAUGUUGGAUUAAAAUAAAUUUUUGGUGUAGAAGCUAAA